CCUACGGGAGGCAGCAGUGGGGAAUAUUGGGCAAUGGACGCAAGUCUGACCCAGCAACGCCGCGUGAAGGAAGAAGGCUUUCGGGUUGUAAACUUCCUUUAAGGGGGAAGAGCAGAAGACGGUACCCCUUGAAUAAGCCACGGCUAACUACGUGCCAGCAGCCGCGGUAAUACGUAGGUGGCAAGCGUUGUCCGGAUUUACUGGGGGUAAAGGGCGUGCAGCCGGGCCGACCAGUCAGAGGUGAAAUCCGCGGGCUUAACCCGCGAACUGCAUUUGAAACUAUUGGUCUUGAGUACGCGAGAGGUCUGCGGAAUUCCUUGUGUAGCGGUGAAAUGCGUAGAUAUAAGGCAGAACACCGAUGGCGAAGGCGGAUGACUGGACGGCAACUGACGGUGAGGCGCGAAAGCGUGGGGAGCGAACAGGAUUAGAUACCCUUGUAGUC
rnacentral:rRNA from 1 species